rnacentral:lncRNA from 1 species
UUCAAAUAUAUCAAGGUUAAACAAUCUAUCUCAGUUUACAUGGAGCAGAAAAUUGAAGAUCAUUUUUUUUUCUUUUACCCUCCAUCUUCUAUAAUAAUUUCACACAGGCUUACCAUGGCACCAUACUAUUUCCCCCCUUCACCAUUGUUAACUAAUUUUCCAAAGUGGAUCCCUGUAACUUGCUAUAAAUCCAAGUCCAAAAACUUUAUCGAUCUCCAGCCUCAUUUACUUUUCAAAAAGCUCCUAGCAGGUUCUUGCCGGAUGGGGGUUUGGGCUUAAUCAAUUGGAACAGAAAAUAGGGAUAUGGUUUCUGUCCUCUAGGGGCUCACAUCUAGGAUCACUAUGAGAAGAUGCAGAAGCUUCAAUAACACAGGAAAGAUAAAGAAAGAAUAAUGCAGGACUGGACUUCACUUUUACAGUGACUGCUUCCUCUGAAUAAUCAUGAGAAGCAGUGAAUAAAAGAAAGGAAUGAAUUCAAGUGGCUUCAUUGGAGAUACAUUUUCAGAUGGCGGCUUAGAGAAAGCUGAAGUUCAGAUCUCCGGAAAACCCUUCCCGACCAAUCUCAAACUAGAAGCUCCUAAGGCGCCGAAAUUCAAAACGAUCAACAGCACAGACCCUGGGAACCCUCCUCCUGGACCUGGACCCGGUCAAAAGGUACGGCUCCCCUUAAUAGCCAGAUCCCGAGAUCCCUCGGACCUCAGGGGUAGGAGCGCAGAGUCCAAGGCUCCCGGAAGCGGCAGCCGCGCCGGGCUCAGAGAGCAGGGUCUGAGGAACAACAACCCUCAGGGUCUUCUACCCAAGUCCCAGUCCGGGUGAAAGUUACUGCCUGGGGCCUCCGCUGCAGAGAGCUGGUCGAAACAACAGCAACCCUCAGGGCAGGCAAGACAGCCUCACGGGCUGGAUCCUGCUAUCCAAGUCUCAGUGAAAGUCUGUGCUCUCGGAGCUUGGGGAAGCGGCAGCCCAUCCCCCCGCAGGCCGACGAAACAGCCUCACAGCCAGGGAUUCUGAAGGCAACUUCUGGAAAUCGAGCCAGGGGGAGAGUGUGGCCUCGUGGUCCGACCCUUCCAUUCCAGUUCCAGUGAGGCAUAUUCAGUUUAACCCAGGGAACGCACAUAGAACCAACAUCUGCCCAGGACUAAAGCCUCUGAUCACCAGACAAAGACAAGAAAAG